GAUGAACGCUGGCGGCGUGCCUAAUACAUGCAAGUCGAGCGAACAGAUAAGGAGCUUGCUCCUUUGAAGUUAGCGGCGGACGGGUGAGUAACACGUGGGUAACCUACCUAUAAGACUGGGAUAACUUCGGGAAACCGGAGCUAAUACCGGAUAACAUUUAGAACCGCAUGGUUCUAAAGUGAAAGAUGGUUUUGCUAUCACUUAUAGAUGGACCCGCGCCGUAUUAGCUAGUUGGUAAGGUAACGGCUUACCAAGGCGACGAUACGUAGCCGACCUGAGAGAGUGAUCGGCCACACUGGAACUGAGACACGGUCCAGACUCCUACGGGAGGCAGCAGUAGGGAAUCUUCCGCAAUGGGCGAAAGCCUGACGGAGCAACGGCGCGUGAGUGAUGAAGGGUUUCGGCUCGUAAAACUCUGUUAUUAGGGAAGAACAAAUGUGUAAGUAACUGUGCACAUCUUGACGGUACCUAAUCAGAAAGCCACGGCUAACUACGUG
rnacentral:rRNA from 1 species